UAGGUGGCGAGCGUUGUCCGGAAUUACUGGGUGUAAAGGGCGCGUAGACGGGUAGAUAAGUUAGAUGUGAAAUACCGGGGCUUAACUCCGGGGCUGCAUUUAAAACUGUUUAUCUUGAGUGCAGGAGAGGGAAGCGGAAUUCCUAGUGUAGCGGUGAAAUGCGUAGAUAUUAGGAGGAACACCAGUGGCGAAGGCGGCUUUCUGGACUGUAACUGACGUUGAGGCGCGAAAGCGUGGGUAGCAAA
rnacentral:rRNA from 1 species